rnacentral:rRNA from 1 species
UACAGAGGUCUCGAGCGUUGUUCGGAUUCAUUGGGCGUAAAGGGUGCGUAGGUUGCGGAGUAAGUUGGAUGUGAAAUACCGGGGCUCAACCCCGGAACUGCAUUCAAUACUGCUUCGCUUGAGUGCUGGAGAGGAGACUGGAAUUUACGGUGUAGCAGUGAAAUGCGUAGAUAUCGUAAGGAAGACCAGUGGCGAAGGCGAGUCUCUAGACAGCAACUGACACUGAGGCACGAAGGCCAGGGGAGCAAACGGG